UGCAAGUCGAGCGGAAACGAUCCCAGCUUGCUGGGAGGCGUCGAGCGGCGGACGGGUGAGUAAUGCAUAGGAAUCUGCCCGGUAGUGGGGGAUAACUUGAGGAAACUCAAGCUAAUACCGCAUACGCCCUACGGGGGAAAGCAGGGGCUCUUCGGACCUUGCGCUAUCGGAUGAGCUUAUGUCGGAUUAGCUAGUUGGUGAGGUAACGGCUUACCAAGGCGACGAUCCGUAGCUGGUCUGAGAGGAUGAUCAGCCACAUCGGGACUGAGACACGGCCCGAACUCCUACGGGAGGCAGCAGUGGGGAAUAUUGGACAAUGGGCGAAAGCCUGAUCCAGCCAUGCCGCGUGUGUGAAGAAGGCCCUCGGGUUGUAAAGCACUUUCAGUGAGGAAGAAGGCUUGUCGGUUAAUACCCGGCAGGAAAGACAUCACUCACAGAAGAAGCCCCGGCUAACUCCGUGCCAGCAGCCGCGGUAAUACGGAGGGGGCAAGCGUUAAUCGGAAUUACUGGGCGUAAAGCGUGCGUAGGCGGCUUGGUAAGCCGGUUGUGAAAGCCCCGGGCUCAACCUGGGAAUGGCAUCCGGAACUGUCAGGCUAGAGUGCAGGAGAGGAAGGUAGAAUUCCCGGUGUAGCGGUGAAAUGCGUAGAGAUCGGGAGGAAUACCAGUGGCGAAGGCGGCCUUCUGGACUGACACUGACGCUGAGGUACGAAAGCGUGGGUAGCAAACAGGAUUAGAUACCCUGGUAGUCCACGCCGUAAACGAUGUCGACUAGCCGUUGGGGUCCUUGAGACCUUUGUGGCGCAGUUAACGCACUAAGUCGACCGCCUGGGGAGUACGGCCGCAAGGUUAAAACUCAAAUGAAUUGACGGGGGCCCGCACAAGCGGUGGAGCAUGUGGUUUAAUUCGAUGCAACGCGAAGAACCUUACCUACCCUUGACAUCGUGCGAACUUGGUAGAGAUACCUUGGUGCCUUCGGGAACGCACACAAAGGUGCUGCAUGGCUGUCG
rnacentral:rRNA from 1 species